AUGGUGGUAAAACAUAUGAUGCACGGACCAUGCGGUGCUCUGAACCCAAAAAAUGUAUGCAUGCAAGAAAACGGAUGCAAGUGCAGAUACCCGCGGCCGUUCAAUGAAAACACAUCACAAGGCAAGGACUCCUACCCAAUUUAUCGGCGGAGAGACGAUGGUAGACGUGCUAAGGUCCGAGGAAAGAUGUUGGACAACAGAUGGGUUGUGCCUUAUAAUCCAUACCUUCUGCGGAUGUUCAAUUGCCACAUCAACGUUGAGGUCUGCUCUAGCAUAAAGGCUGUCAAAUAUCUUUACAAGUACAUUUACAAGGGCCAUGAUAAGGCUUCUUUCAGCAUCGACCAGCCCGAUGCCGAUGGUAACAUUGAUGAGAUCAAGAGGCACGUUGACGCAAGGUGGAUUACCCCUCCGGAGGCUAUGUGGAGGAUAUUUGGCUUCGCACUUUGC
rnacentral:rRNA from 1 species